UACGAAGGGGGCUAGCGUUGCUCGGAAUCACUGGGCGUAAAGCGCACGUAGGCGGCUUACUAAGUCAGGGGUGAAAUCCUGGAGCUCAACUCCAGAACUGCCUUUGAUACUGGUGAGCUUGAGUCUGGGAGAGGUGAGCGGAACUGCGAGUGUAGAGGUGAAAUUCGUAGAUAUUCGCAAGAACACCAGUGGCGAAGGCGGCUCACUGGCCCGGUACUGACGCUGAGGUGCGAAAGCGUGGGGAGCAAACAGG
rnacentral:rRNA from 1 species